AUUGAACGCUGGCAGCAUGCCUUACACAUGCGAGUCGAACGGCAGCACGGGUGCUUGCACCUGGUGGCGAGUGGCGAACGGGUGAGUAAUACAUCGGAACAUGUCCUGUAGUGGGGGAUAGCCCGGCGAAAGCCGGAUUAAUACCGCAUACGAUCUACGGAUGAAAGCGGGGGACCUUCGGGCCUCGCGCUAUAGGGUUGGCCGAUGGCUGAUUAGCUAGUUGGUGGGGUAAAGGCCUACCAAGGCGACGAUCAGUAGCUGGUCUGAGAGGACGACCAGCCACACUGGGACUGAGACACGGCCCAGACUCCUACGGGAGGCAGCAGUGGGGAAUUUUGGACAAUGGGCGAAAGCCUGAUCCAGCAAUGCCGCGUGUGUGAAGAAGGCCUUCGGGUUGUAAAGCACUUUUGUCCGGAAAGAAAUCCUUGGCCCUAAUACGGUCGGGGGAUGACGGUACCGGAAGAAUAAGCACCGGCUAACUACGUG
rnacentral:rRNA from 1 species